rfam:Triticum aestivum genome assembly, contig: Triticum_aestivum_CS42_TGACv1_scaffold_096038_2AL
AAACUACUCCCUCCGUCCGGAAUUACUCGUCUGAGAAAUGCAUAAAAAUGGAUGUACCUAAAACAAAAAUACAUCUAGAUACAUCCAUUCCUUCGACAAAUAUUUUGGGACGGAGGGAGUAGUAA